AACGAACGCUGGCGGCAGGCCUAACACAUGCAAGUCGAACGCCCCGCAAGGGGAGUGGCAGACGUGUGAGUAACACGUGGGAACGUACCCUUCGGUUCGGAAUAACACAGAGAAAUUUGUGCUAAUACCGGAUACGUCCGAGAGGAGAAAGAUUUAUCGCCGAUGGAUCGGCCCGCGUCUGAUUAGCUUGUUGGUGAGGUAACGGCUCACCAAGGCGACGAUCAGUAGCUGGGCUGAGAGGAUGAUCAGCCACACUGGGACUGAGACACGGCCCAGACUCCUACGGGAGGCAGCAGUGGGGAAUAUUGGACAAUGGGGGAAACCCUGAUCCAGCCAUGCCGCGUGAGUGAUGAAGGCCCUAGGGUUGUAAAGCUCUUUUACCUGGGAAGAUAAUGACUGUACCAGGAGAAUAAGCCCCGGCUAACUUCGUGCCAGCCGCCGCGGUAAAAC
rnacentral:rRNA from 1 species